UUUCCGUAGGUGAACCUGCGGAAGGAUCAUUAAAGAGUAAGGGUCUUCGGGCCCGAUCUCCAACCCUUUGUUUAACUACCAUGUUGCUUUGGCGGGCCCGUCUCACGACCGCCGGAAGUUGGCUUCGACCAAACUUCUGGCCCGUGCCCGUCAGUGGCCCCUUCAAAUUCUUGAUCAAGUAUGAUGUCUUAGUUAAAAACUUAAUAGUUAAAACUUUCAACAACGGAUCUCUUGGUUCUG
rnacentral:misc_RNA from 1 species